AGUUAGUUGGGGGGUAAAGGCCUACCAAGACAAUGAUGCAUAGCCGAGUUGAGAGACUGAUCGGCCACAUUGGGACUGAGACACGGCCCAAACUCCUACGGGAGGCUGCAGUAGGGAAUCUUCCACAAUGGGCGAAAGCCUGAUGGAGCAACGCCGCGUGUGUGAUGAAGGCUUUCGGGUCGUAAAGCACUGUUGUAUGGGAAGAACAGCUAGAAUAGGAAAUGAUUUUAGUUUGACGGUACCAUACCAGAAAGGGACGGCUAAAUACGUGCCAGCAGCCGCGGUAAUACGUAUGUCCCGAGCGUUAUCCGGAUUUAUUGGGCGUAAAGCGAGCGCAGACGGUUUAUUAAGUCUGAUGUGAAAGCCCGGAGCUCAACUCCGGAAUGGCAUUGGAAACUGGUUAACUUGAGUGCAGUAGAGGUAAGUGGAACUCCAUGUGUAGCGGUGGAAUGCGUAGAUAUAUGGAAGAACACCAGUGGCGAAGGCGGCUUACUGGACUGCAACUGACGUUGAGGCUCGAAAGUGUGGGUAGCAAACAGGAUUAGAUACCCUGGUAGUCCACACCGUAAACGAUGAACACUAGGUGUUAGGAGGUUUCCGCCUCUUAGUGCCGAAGCUAACGCAUUAAGUGUUCCGCCUGGGGAGUACGACCGCAAGGUUGAAACUCAAAGGAAUUGACGGGGACCCGCACAAGCGGUGGAGCAUGUGGUUUAAUUCGAAGCAACGCGAAGAACCUUACCAGGUCUUGACAUCCUUUGAAGCUUUUAGAGAUAGAAGUGUUCUCUUCGGAGACAAAGUGACAGGUGGUGCAUGGUCGUCGUCAGCUCGUGUCGUGAGAUGUUGGGUUAAGUCCCGCAACGAGCGCAACCCUUAUUGUUAGUUGCCAGCAUUCAGAUGGGCACUCUAGCGAGACUGCCGGUGACAAACCGGAGGAAGGCGGGGACGACGUCAGAUCAUCAUGCCCCUUAUGACCUGGGCUACACACGUGCUACAAUGGCGUAUACAACGAGUUGCCAACCCGCGAGGGUGAGCUAAUCUCUUAAAGUACGUCUCAGUUCGGAUUGUAGUCUGCAACUCGACUACAUGAAGUCGGAAUCGCUAGUAAUCGCGGAUCAGCACGCCGCGGUGAAUACGUUCCCGGGUCUUGUACACACCGCCCGUCACACCAUGGGAGUUUGUAAUGCCCAAAGCCGGUGGCCUAACCUUUAGGAAGGAGCCGUCUAAGG
rnacentral:rRNA from 1 species